CAGAGUUUUCAUAUGUGAGGUAAUCUUACUGGGAGUGAAGGCAGUAUGACCGCUUGAUACGAGAGACACAUUCUAUUUUUAAAGGUCAACAUACUGUAAGCUUCAUUCCCUUUAAAGCAGAGUUUUCAUAUGUGAGGUAAUCUUGCUUAUGCUGGGAGUGAAGGCAGUGCGUAUGACCGCUUGAUAUGAGAGAC